rnacentral:lncRNA from 1 species
CUAAGGUUCUUCAUCACUACUAGCAAGUCCCCUUUUGGAGAAGGUACGUUUUAAAUCUUAUCAUAUACAUUAUUUUCGUGCAGAAAACCUGAUUGUUUUAUAUAACUUCUCGUUACUUAAUAGGAGAGAUAGACAUAAAAUGUUCAUAUUAUAGCGUUCAUUUUCUUUUCUGUCGAAGAUGAAUAUUUAUGAAUAAGUUGUGGGUGCAUAUAUGUGUAUAUAGGAACCAACACUCGGGAUAGGUUUGAGAUGCGAGUUCAUAAAAGAGUGAUGGACCUCUUCAGCACCCCAGAGGUGGUCAAGCAUGUUACCAAUAUACAGAUGGAAGCCCGCGUCGAGGUUGGGGUUACCAUUGCCGAUGUUUAA